CGGCAGCGUGGUCCGGCCUUCGAAUCUGAAAAGACCAAACUGUAGACUCCUGGGGUCGAUGAUAAGGGCAUGAACUUAGAUCCGUGUGUUUGCCGGCAGAGGUAAACCUAGAAGCCUUCGGGUUGUAAAAAUCUCAUUUCUUACCAAACACCUGCUUCAGGAGGCCUGGUCUUCCCUUCUGCCCUGCCUGCCGACCACCGUGUGAGUCUGGGCGACAGGACCCUGACUCGGCUUGGGAGUGAGCUGGAGUGAGGGGUGAAGCGACAGCUCCUUCUAACUGCAACGCGGACGCAAGCAGUAGGGAAAGCUACGGCGACACCAUGACCUCGGGAGCCCGUGGGCUCAGCCCAGGUAGUCGCCUUCCACUUCUCUGGAUGAUCCCUGGAAUUGCGGGGAUGCCUCCAGCUGAGCUCACCCACAGAGGAAUCGGUCCCUUGAAGAGCUUCCUUGAGCCCCCAAGAGAGGUCAAGGGGAGUCCCCAGCCCAGGAGUCUGUAGGGACACCUCCCUCUUGUCUUCUGAGGGU